AUUGAACGCUGGCGGCGUGCUUAACACAUGCAAGUCGAACGGUAACAUGCAACUGAAGUGGCAACAUGGAAGUUGUGAUGACGAGUGGCGAACGGGUGAGUAAUGCAUCGGAACAUACCUAGUAGUUGGGGAUAACUAUUCGAAAGGAUAGCUAAUACCGAAUAAGCUCUGAGGAGGAAAGGUUGGGAUACGAAAGUACCAGUCGCUACUAGAGUGGCCGAUGUCUGAUUAGCUAGUUGGUAGGGUAAAGGCCUACCAAGGCGAUGAUCAGUAGCUGUUCUGAGAGGAAGUACAGCCACACUGGAACUGAGACACGGUCCAGACUCCUACGGGAGGCAGCAGUGGGGGAAUUUUGGACAAUGGGGGCAACCCUGAUCCAGCAACGCCGCGUGAAUGAAGAAGGCCCUUGGGUUGUAAAGUUCUUUUAUAACUGAGAAGAAGUCCUAGUUUAAGAGAUGGGGAUGGAGAUAGUAAGUUAUGAAUAAGCACCGGCUAAC
rnacentral:rRNA from 1 species